GUCUGACAGCUACUCUUUUCUCCUCCCAUCAGACGGGGAGUAAAUAUUAUCUUUGAGUCUUGCAGCAACUAAACAAUCUGUCAGGAUCAAAACAAGAGAAAGGAACUAUGAGUCAGAUCUUUACGGAUUGAGCCCAGCAAUAAAAAAGAAAACAGAUCAGAAUGAUAUAAGAUGUUAUUCAGAGAAAUAUUUCAGGAACAGGAACCAAAAUACAGUGUUUUCUCAGAGAAGUUUAUCAAAAGAAGCUUCAGGCACAUACUCAUGUCGAAAUGAAGACAUCAGAUCUUGACAGUGAUGAAAAAGACAAUGUAUGAGACGCAGAGUGGGACAGCAGG